UAUAAAAUGCAUGGAGCAAUGGGACUCUUUAUAUGCAACUGGUUUGUGUGUACAUUUUUACAAUCAUUUUGAAUACUCUGGUAUUAUCUGCUGAAAUUGAAAGUAUCCAUACCCGAUAAACAAACAAUUCCAGCCUUGAGUGAAUUGCCCAUAGGAGCAUAUCAGGACCCAUGCAUAGAGAUGCUUGUAGCAGGAUUAUUAAUAAUUGUCCCAAAUUAAAAAUAACAAUAUUUAUUUACAAUAGGAUGGAUACACUUCUAUAUAUUUAUAAAAUGGAAGGCUUUACAGUGAAGAAGUUAAUCAAACCAAAGCUAAAUUCAACACCAUGGAUUCAUUUUUUAAAAAAAUAUUGAGCCAAAGAAGCACACUAAAAAAAUGUAUUUAGUAUGAUGUUUUUUGAUUAAAAAUACAUAAAGAGGAAAAACUCUGCUCUAUUAUGAUGCACAUAUGGGAGGUAAAACUAUAAAGGAAAUUACAAAAGUGAAUACAAUAAGAGUCAAGACAAUGUUAACCUCAAGGGGUUAGGAAGGAAAUGUGAUUAUGAAGGGAUAUAGGGUUGAUGGGAAUGUUUUCUAACUUAACCUGGAUGUUGGUUGCAUAAAUGGUCAAUGCAUGAUUUUCCAUUUUAAUGUACAUUUAUGUAAUGUUGACAUCUCUGACAUAUUUCAUAAUAAAUAUUUUUAAAGGUACCAGCAACUCAUAUACCUGAUAAACUGAAUGCAAAUACUAUGAAUGAGCAUUAGCAUUGCUUAGCUAAUAAACAAAAGUUCAAGGAGCAAAAAAGCUCAAUUUUGUGCCAUUGUAACAACUGCAAAUAAGGAGUAUGUAAUGAAUCAGAUUUUAUUGUUAAACCAGAAACAUUCUUAUGCUAAAAUCAGCUUAACAUAAACAAAAGUUGAUUCAGUUUGUUCAAGACUUCAGAGGGAAAGCAUAAAGUGACAAAAUUGUUUUCACUAUAAAUAGGUUAAGUAAAGAUUGUGGGGUUUUGUUGUUGCUGUUGUUUUUGUUGUUGUUUUGAGAUGGAGUUUCGCUCUUGUUGCCCAGGAUGGAGUGAUGGAGUGCAGGGGCGUGACCUCAGCUCACUGCAACCUUCACCUCCCAGGUUCAAGUGAUUCUCCUGCCUCUGCCUCCCGAAUAGCUGGGAUUACAGGUAUGCACUACUACACUGGGCUAAGUUUUGUAUUUUCAGUAGAGAUGGGGUUUCACCACUUGGCCAGGCUGGUCUCGAACUUCUGACCUCAAGCAAUCCUCCCGCCUUAGGCUCCCAAAGUGGUGGGAUUACAGGCCUGAACCACAGGGCCCAGCCUUGGCUUGUGGUUCUUUUACUAAAUAUGGAAUAGCGAUAAAGCUUAUGUAUCAUAUUUGUAAAAGAAAGCUAGGCACAUGAAGCAGAAUUAAUUCAUGAGGGAAAAUAUUUAUUUUACUCUCAAGUCUCCCGAAAGUUAUUGUAUUCAUUUAAACUCAAUUUCUAAUUUUUUUAGUUACCCAAAUACUAUUGCAUUAAAUGCAUUAAAGAGAGCAUUGUACCUAGCAGAUAUGUGAGAAACAGUUUGACUUUUUAACCACUAAAAAAUGUCCAAAUAUCAGAAUUUAUUUUAUUUUAAAUUUCAAAAAAAUCCUUAUUUUAUAUGAUAAAAAUCAAGUUGAUUUGUAAGUCAUAUAUAUCAGCUUAUUAUCAAGAACUAUUGCUAUGUAAAAGAACUUAGGACUGUGUAAUUAGAACUAUGUAAUAGAAAUAUUUACAGAAGACUAUAUCUGCCAACAUGAGAUACUCUACCACCAUAACUUAUAUCAAUGACUCUUGUUCUAUCAUCGUGUGCAUUAUAAAUAGUGCAAAAUUUCAAGAAAUUUCCAUUUUGAGAUAUAAGAAAUCAAUAUGCUGGGAAAACUAAUAUCAAACUCUGAAGUAGAUAUAUUUCAUUUUAUAUAUAUUUUAAAUGACCUUUAACUAAAGGUUAAAUUGGAUUGACACACUGAAGAUAAAUUUUUUUAUUAUUAUCAUCAUUAAAUUAUUAUUUUGUGACUAUUACUAUUCAACUAACACUACAUCUGAUAAUAUAAUGAUAAACACAUUCCUUUUUUAUAUUAACUAGCAUUUUUUUCGAGUUUCUUAAAGCUUUGUUUGCAACUCUGGAUGAUUUAUGUGGGACAUGAUAAAACCAAUCUCCACACAGGCUAAUUUGAGACCUGGCAUCAUUGUCUCUCUCUGAACAAUCUGGAAGCUUUUUUAUGGUAGUGAAUUGCUCAUUUGGGGUGCGAGGAUUGAAGCAGGCAAGUGUCUGGGUCAUUAUGUGCUCAGCCAUGUCUUACAUAGGUGUUUGGAUUUGUAUAGCACUGGUUAAUCUGUAAUGUGUUUUAAUUUAGAGACAUAAAUUCUGGCCAGAAUUCUAUGCUUUAAUUAAAUAGUGUCAAGGGAUUGAUCGCAGCAUAUUGAUCCAUAACUGAACAUUUUAUCCAUGAAGUCACAGGUCCAGUGAGGUAAGUUACAUUUUUAAUUCCAUUCUGAUUAUAGUCUAUUAUCAGGACAAUGUAUAAUUUGCAUGUUUUUCAUUUGAGAGUAAUGAUACAUAGCCAUUGAUAAGCCAUGUUCCUCUUCCUUUCACCCCAUUAAGCUACAAGUUUGGAUAAACAAGUGUACUUAAUUUCAAUUUCAUAUAUUGUUUGAUGGCACCCCUGAGAAUAAAGAGGCAGGUUUCAUAAGACAAUGGGCUAACUUAAAAUCAGUUUUUGGAUACUGUUUCAUACAAACUGAAUACACUUAACUAGAAAAUGAUAUCUCUACUUUUUCCUUUCAAAGAUAAUGACACUCCUUUUUUCCCCCUCAGUCAUCAUUGCCUAGAAUACCCUACUUCAAACAAUGAAACUCACUUUCAAUCUAUCAUCAUCUUUCACUCUUCAGUGAAACCCCAUGUAGCUUCCAGAUGUGGUUUCAGGAUUUCUCUAUAUUGUUGGAGAGAACAAGAACCUGAGACCUGCCGAACAGCAGGUGCCAAAGAUGCUGCUGUAACACCACAGCCCUCCCAUCUUCCAUCCUCCACUGGCGCUGAGUGGCAGUCCCAUGUGACAGGAAGUGGAGGCAGAGCUGGGCCAGCCCAGGAGCCACGUGCUGGAGCCAGAUACUCUGUUUUUCUACAAAUGGAAAGUUUGUGGCAUCCUUGACUCAAGCAAAUUUUUCAGCACCAUUUUUCAAGAGCGUGUGCUCACUUCACCUCUCUGUAUCGUGUUUUGAUGCUUGUCCUGGAAACCAACCAUGAGCUGUGAUGAAAUCCAGGCAACUGAGUUGUGUUUCAGCCCAAAGCAGCAAAUGGAAUCCAGCUUCAGGACCAUCAUCUGACAUAGGGGAAGAAGACUUACAUAGAAGGCCUAACCAGCACCCAAGAUCAUGCUCAUAGGUGGAGGAGACUUGCUUUGUCUCAGAUGAGACUUUGGACUGUGGACUUUUGAGUUAAUGCUGAAAUGAGUUGAGACUUUGGGGAACUGUUGGGAAGGCAUGAUUGGUUUUAAAUAUGAAUAUAUGAGAUUUGGGAGGGGGUCAGGGGUGGAAUGAUAUGGUUUGGCUCUGUGUCCCCACCCAAAUCUCAUCUUGUAGCUCCCAUAAUCCUCCCAUGUUGUGGGAGGGACCCAGUGGGAGAUGAUUGAAUCAUGAGGGCGGGUCUUUCUCAUGCUGUUCAUGAUCCCAUUCAUGUGAGAAAGACCCAUGUGAUCAUGAAUGGGUCUCACAAGAUCUGAUGGUGUUAAAAAUGGGAGUUUCUCUGCACAAGCUCUCUGCCUGCUGCCAUUCACAAAGGAUGUGACUUGCUUCUCCUUGCCUUCUGCUAUGAUUGUGAGGCCUCCCUAGCCAUGUGGAACUGUGAGUC
ensembl:lncRNA LINC02882 long intergenic non-protein coding RNA 2882